rnacentral:rRNA from 1 species
UAAGGAAUAUUGCGCAAUGGGGGAAACCCUGACGCAGCAACGCCGCGUGGAGGAUGACACUUUUCGGAGCGUAAACUCCUUUUAUCAGGAAAGAAUAAUGACGGUACCUGAUGAAUAAGCACCGGCUAACUCCGUGCCAGCAGCCGCGGUAAUACGGGGGGUGCAAGCGUUACUCGGAAUCACUGGGCGUAAAGGACGCGUAGGCGGAUUAUCAAGUCUUUUGUGAAAUCUAGUGGCUUAAGCACUAAACUGCUUAGGAAACUGAUAGUCUAGAGUAGGGGAGAGGUAGAUGGAAUUCUUGGUGUAGGGGUAAAAUCCGUAGAGAUCAAGAAGAAUACCCAUUGCGAAAGCGAUCUGCUGGAACCUAACUGACGCUGAGGCGUGAAAGCGUGGGUAGCAAACAGG